AGAUUAAGUUAUUAAGGGCGCACGGUGGAUGCCUUGGCACUAGAAGCCGAUGAAGGACGUUACUAACGACGAUAUGCUUUGGGGAGCUGUAAGUAAGCGUUGAUCCAGAGAUUUCCGAAUGGGGAAACCCAGCAUGAGUUAUGUCAUGUUAUCGAUAUGUGAAUACAUAGCAUAUCAGAAGGCAGACCCGGAGAACUGAAACAUCUUAGUACCCGGAGGAAGAGAAAGAAAAAUCGAUUCCCUGAGUAGCGGCGAGCGAAACGGGAAGAGCCCAAACCAACAAGCUUGCUUGUUGGGGUUGUAGGACACUCUAUACGGAGUUACAAAAGUAUAUAUUAGACGAAUCAUCUGGAAAGUUGAAUCAAAGAAGGUAAUAAUCCUGUAGUCGAAAAUAUAUACUCUCUUGAGUGGAUCCUGAGUACGACGGAGCACGUGAAAUUCCGUCGGAAUCUGGGAGGACCAUCUCCUAAGGCUAAAUACUCUCUAGUGACCGAUAGUGAACCAGUACCGUGAGGGAAAGGUGAAAAGUACCCCGGAAGGGGAGUGAAAGAGAACUUGAAACCGUGUGCUUACAAGUAGUCAGAGCCCGUUAAUGGGUGAUGGCGUGCCUUUUGUAGAAUGAACCGGCGAGUUACGAUUUGAUGCAAGGUUAAGCAGCUAAUGUGGAGCCGUAGCGAAAGCGAGUCUGAAUAGGGCGUUUAGUAUUUGGUCGUAGACCCGAAACCAGGUGAUCUACCCUUGGUCAGGUUGAAGUUCAGGUAACACUGAAUGGAGGACCGAACCGACUUACGUUGAAAAGUGAGCGGAUGAACUGAGGGUAGCGGAGAAAUUCCAAUCGAACUUGGAGAUAGCUGGUUCUCUCCGAAAUAGCUUUAGGGCUAGCCUCAAGUGAUGAUUAUUGGAGGUAGAGCACUGUUUGGACGAGGGGCCCUUCUCGGGUUACCGAAUUCAGACAAACUCCGAAUGCCAAUCAAUUUAACUUGGGAGUCAGAACAUGGGUGAUAAGGUCCGUGUUCGAAAGGGAAACAGCCCAGACCACCAGCUAAGGUCCCAAAAUAUAUGUUAAGUGGAAAAGGAUGUGGCGUUGCCCAGACAACUAGGAUGUUGGCUUAGAAGCAGCCAUCAUUUAAAGAGUGCGUAAUAGCUCACUAGUCGAGUGACACUGCGCCGAAAAUGUACCGGGGCUAAACAUAUUACCGAAGCUGUGGAUUGUCCGUAGGACAAUGGUAGGAGAGCGUUCUAAGGGCGUUGAAGCAUGAUCGCAAGGACAUGUGGAGCGCUUAGAAGUGAGAAUGCCGGUGUGAGUAGCGAAAGACGGGUGAGAAUCCCGUCCACCGAUUGACUAAGGUUUCCAGAGGAAGGCUCGUCCGCUCUGGGUUAGUCGGGUCCUAAGCUGAGGCCGACAGGCGUAGGCGAUGGAUAACAGGUUGAUAUUCCUGUACCACCUAGUAUCGUUUUAAUCGAUGGGGGGACGCAGUAGGAUAGGCGAAGCGUGCUAUUGGAUUGCACGUCCAAGCAGUAAGACUGAGUGUUAGGCAAAUCCGGCACUCAUAAGGUCAAGCUGUGAUGGGGAGAGGAAAUUGUUUCCUCGAGUCGUUGAUUUCACACUGCCAAGAAAAGCCUCUAGAUAGAUAACAGGUGCCCGUACCGCAAACCGACACAGGUAGUCAAGAUGAGAAUUCUAAGGUGAGCGAGCGAACUCUCGUUAAGGAACUCGGCAAAAUGACCCCGUAACUUCGGGAGAAGGGGUGCUCUUUAGGGUUAACGCCCAGAAGAGCCGCAGUGAAUAGGCCCAAGCGACUGUUUAUCAAAAACACAGGUCUCUGCUAAACCGUAAGGUGAUGUAUAGGGGCUGACGCCUGCCCGGUGCUGGAAGGUUAAGAGGAGUAGUUAGCUUCUGCGAAGCUACGAAUCGAAGCCCCAGUAAACGGCGGCCGUAACUAUAACGGUCCUAAGGUAGCGAAAUUCCUUGUCGGGUAAGUUCCGACCCGCACGAAAGGCGUAACGAUUUGGGCACUGUCUCAACGAGAGACUCGGUGAAAUCAUAGUACCUGUGAAGAUGCAGGUUACCCGCGACAGGACGGAAAGACCCCGUGGAGCUUUACUGUAGCCUGAUAUUGAAAUUCGGCACAGCUUGUACAGGAUAGGUAGGAGCCUUUGAAACGUGAGCGCUAGCUUACGUGGAGGCAUUGGUGGGAUACUACCCUAGCUGUGUUGGCUUUCUAACCCGCACCACUUAUCGUGGUGGGAGACAGUGUCAGGUGGGCAGUUUGACUGGGGCGGUCGCCUCCUAAAAGGUAACGGAGGCGCUCAAAGGUUCCCUCAGAAUGGUUGGAAAUCAUUCAUAGAGUGUAAAGGCAUAAGGGAGCUUGACUGCGAGACUUACAAGUCGAGCAGGGUCGAAAGACGGACUUAGUGAUCCGGUGGUUCCGCAUGGAAGGGCCAUCGCUCAACGGAUAAAAGCUACCCCGGGGAUAACAGGCUUAUCUCCCCCAAGAGUUCACAUCGACGGGGAGGUUUGGCACCUCGAUGUCGGCUCAUCGCAUCCUGGGGCUGUAGUCGGUCCCAAGGGUUGGGCUGUUCGCCCAUUAAAGCGGUACGCGAGCUGGGUUCAGAACGUCGUGAGACAGUUCGGUCCCUAUCCGUCGUGGGCGUAGGAAAUUUGAGAGGAGCUGUCCUU
rnacentral:rRNA from 1 species